rnacentral:snRNA from 1 species
AUUACUUCUAGUCCUUUUGUCUAAGAUCAAGUUUAGUAUCUGUUCUCAUCAGUUUAAUAUUCCCUGAAUAUAUCAGUUAAAAAAAAAAAAGUUCCCUGUCACAUCUU